AUACGCUACUCUUUUCGGUUUCCAUCCAAGAUAAAAUAGAAUGAGUUCAACGAGCAAAGCAUGGUUAGUGGCUGCAAGCGUGGGGGCAGUUGAGGCACUCAAGGAUCAAGGCUUCUGCAGAUGGAAUUACACCAUGAGAUCACUUCAUCAUCAUGUCAAGAACAAUCUCAAGUCCUCCGCUUCCUCUUUUGCUCAUCAAACCAAGAAGCAGCUGAGCAGUGAUAUUAGGGAUCAGAGUGACAAGGCUAAACAAUCCGAAGAAUCACUAAGAAAAGUCAUGUACUUGAGUUGUUGGGGUCCCAAUUGACCCCCAAGAUUCCAUUCGGUUUCGUAAUAUAUAUUUUGGUAGAUCAUCUUGUAGAUAACUUUGUAGUGUCUAUAUGACACAGAUUAUAUGGAUUCUAAUAGAAUUGAGUUCUGGGAAACCUUAUAUUCAUGUUGUAUUCUGAAAUUCAAUUUUACACCACAAAAUUCAAAGCUAUCUAGAUCAGUCAAUCUCACGAGGUUUCACCAUAAACUUUUCAAUAGUACUGAAGUUGAAAUGAAUUUGUUAAUUCCUUUCCGUCAAAACCGGUAAGAACAAGUCGAACAAUGUCUUAGCAAUUACCUUAUAAAUAUAACAAAAAAUAGUAUCAUGAUGAUUUAAGACAUUAUUUUAAUAUAUCAAUUCUAACAAUAUGUUUUAUUAUUAAAAUAAUAAUAUAUUUGAACUAUUGUUGGAGGGAAAUGAAAAGGAGAGAGCAGAGAGAAGUGUUGAAAUGAGAGAAAACUAAUUUUUUAUUGGCAGAAAUGAUUUAGGACAUGCAUACUUAGUGCCUCAAAAAUAAGGCAUUUGACAGAUAUACAUAUACUAGUAUUUUAAGGCACCAUUGGGACAUUGUUGGAGCACUCAUUUGCUUCAAAUGUCUUAAAUUUUGAUUUAAGACAUCAAUUUGGGGCACUUUUUGACUUGCUUUAAAGAAUUGAAACCUUCGAAAUUCUCAUAUACGAUAAUAUAGCCUAAUAUAAUAACCGACUAAGAUAAAGCCAAAUAAUGAUCUAACAAAUAUCCUAUAAGUAUAUUAAAAAAUGGAACUCGAGUAAUAUGUAUUGUAAUGUCAUAUUACUAUAAAAAUAAUAUAUUCGAAUAAGAAUCGAAAGACGUGUCAAAAUGAGUUAUUUUAUUUAUAAAAAUGACUCAGGACAAACAUAGUACUACCUUGUUAAGAUAUUUGUUGGGAUAAUCCCAGUGUUUUGCGACAACACUACUUUUAAAUUUUUGGAACUUGCAUCAAAGAAAUUGUCCCAGUCUAUAUCACUAAUUAAAAAAACUGAUCAUCUCAUUUCGAUGGCUGAACGAUUCUCACUAAAAAAUUGAACCAACUAUUAAUAAGAAAAUAACUAAAGAUAAAAUGCUCAAUUGACAGAAGAGCAUGAGUGAUCGUGUGUGAGUAUUUGUAUCGUAGUACAAAAAAGUCGAUUCAAUGGAGUUUAGGAGUUUAGUACUGCCAUUUUUUUUAAAUUAUUCUAUUUUAAUUUUUAGAGGAGUGUUAGGUGUUUAAAUUGAAUUUUAAUAAUGCAAUUUUGAUUAAUGUGACAUGACCCAUUUUUUAUAGGAAUAACUAAAUACAAGUCUUGCAAUAAAACAUGUUUCGAGCGAAAAUCGGACCCCCUAUUAAAAAGAUAACGUGUGAAAAAAGCCCGACAAUAAAAUAAAAAAUAACAGUAUGAUGAUAAGGAAACAGGAACAACUCCCUAAAUACCUGGUAGGCGCAAUCAGAAACAGGGUGCUCGCUGGACAUUGUAACUCACAUGUGUACGUGUAGUCACACUAAAACAAUUGGUGCAUGCCCCUGGUUUAGCCUUGUGCACCCAUGGUUUUCUAUUUCUACCUUAUCAUCAUUUCUUAUGCCUCAUCCUAUAUAUACACCAACUCACACAUCUCACUCAUCAAACCACACAGUUUCACUCAAAAGGCAUACAAAUACAAUACUCCUCCUCCUCCCAGCUUGAAUCAAAGAAACACAGAGCUCAAAGAGAAUGAGUUCCGCAAGCAAAGCAUGGUUAGUAGCUGCAAGCGUAGGGGCCGUUGAGGCACUCAAGGAUCAAGGCUUCUGCAGAUGGAAUUACACAAUGAGAUCACUUCAUCAUCACGUCAAGAACAAUCUCAAGUCCUCUGCUUCCUCUUUUGCUCAUCAAACCAAGAAGCAGCUGAGCAGUAAUAUUAGGGAUCAGAGUGACAAGGCUAAACAAUCCGAAGAAUCUCUGAGAAAAGUCAU
rnacentral:lncRNA from 1 species